rnacentral:rRNA from 1 species
UACGAAGGGGGCUAGCGUUGUUCGGAUUUACUGGGCGUAAAGCGCACGUAGGCGGAUCGUUAAGUCGGGGGUGAAAUCCUGGAGCUCAACUCCAGAACUGCCUUCGAUACUGGCGAUCUUGAGUCCGGAAGAGGUGAGUGGAACUCCUAGUGUAGAGGUGGAAUUCGUAGAUAUUAGGAAGAACACCAGUGGCGAAGGCGGCUCACUGGUCCGGUACUGACGCUCAUGUGCGAAAGCGUGGGGAGCAAACAGG